AAAUGUUGAGAAAGACCAUCUUAGCUCUAAACUUAACAAAAUAUUUAAAAAUAUGUUCCAUGGCCCUAGUUAUUGAAUACUGUAUAAACACUUCGGGCAGAAAAAUUUGUUUAUCUAGGAUUGCUUGGAUUAUCGCACAAGUUAAUUGCGCGUGCACAAUUCAAAAAUAAAUCAUCUUCUUGGAGAGGGUAGGAUCAUUCUGUUUUUUGAGUACGUUUUAUAUUUCUAAUUAGCAGGUUGGAAUGUUGUUGAGACGGAAUCAGGUGAACUUUUUUCCAACUAUAUGAGAGAGGCUAGUUGGUUAAACAGUCACUUGAAAAUGAUGAAGACAGAAGCGGACAUAGCUUAUAAGUUAUGGGUUCAAGAACUAAUAAACUUCAAAUCCUAGAUAUGUCUUGGACGAAGAAGCCCUUGAAGGGAGACCAGACAAACAAGAGGAAUUGAUCACCAGAGAAUGUUUGGUUCACAAGAGGUCAGUGUCAGUUCAUGGGUGCUGCAUCUUAUUUCCUAAGGUUUUUUUAUUUGCUCCCUACUGUGAAAAGUGAUGUAAAAGAUUUCAUUUCAUUUGUAUUCACAUUAAACCAAGAAACUAGUAAGCAUUUGUGCUCUUUCUAAUGACUACUUAAACAUCUAAAGAAUUUCACAUA